rnacentral:rRNA from 1 species
GCCGCGGUAAUUCCAGCUCCAAUAGCGUAUAUUAACGUUGUUGCAGUUAAAAAGCUCGUAGUUGAAGUGAGGGAGUGUGUGGGUAUGAGAGAUAGUCUCAAGUACUUACAACCUCCACCUUCCAAUCGGUGUAGUGGGGUAUUCAGUUAUUCUACUACUCCUUUGGUCGUUUACUGUGAGAAAAUUAGAGUGUUCAAAGCGGGCGGUUGUUUGUAUAGAUUAGCAUGGAAUAAUGAUUGAAGGCUUUAGUGUUGGAUUUGAUUGAUUUGUUCAUGGAAGCAAUGUUAAAAGGAACAGUUGGGGGUAUUCAUAUUCACUAGUUAGAGGUGAAAUUCUCGGAUUUAUGGAAGAUGAACAGGUGCGAAAGCAUUUACCAAGGAUUUCUUCAUUAAUCAAGAACGAAGG